GCUUGCUCUCUGAUUCAGCGGCGGACGGGUGAGUAAUGCCUAGGAAUCUGCCUGAUAGUGGGGGACAACGUUUCGAAAGGAACGCUAAUACCGCAUACGUCCUACGGGAGAAAGCAGGGGACCUUCGGGCCUUGCGCUAUCAGAUGAGCCUAGGUCGGAUUAGCUAGUUGGUGAGGUAACGGCUCACCAAGGCGACGAUCCGUAACUGGUCUGAGAGGAUGAUCAGUCACACUGGAACUGAGACACGGUCCAGACUCCUACGGGAGGCAGCAGUGGGGAAUAUUGGACAAUGGGCGAAAGCCUGAUCCAGCCAUGCCGCGUGUGUGAAGAAGGUCUUCGGAUUGUAAAGCACUUUAAGUUGGGAGGAAGGGCAUUAACCUAAUACGUUAGUGUUUUGACGUUACCGACAGAAUAAGCACCGGCUAACUUCGUGCCAGCAGCCGCGGUAAUACGAAGGGUGCAAGCGUUAAUCGGAAUUACUGGGCGUAAAGCGCGCGUAGGUGGUUUGUUAAGUUGAAUGUGAAAGCCCCGGGCUCAACCUGGGAACUGCAUCCAAAACUGGCAAGCUAGAGUAUGGCAGAGGGUGGUGGAAUUUCCUGUGUAGCGGUGAAAUGCGUAGAUAUAGGAAGGAACACCAGUGGC
rnacentral:rRNA from 1 species